rnacentral:snRNA from 1 species
UAACUUACCUGGCAGGGGAACACCAUGAUCAAGAAGGCGGUUCACCAGGGCGAGGCUUUGUCAUUGCACUCCGCCAUGCUGACCCCUGCGAAUUCCCCAAAUGCGGGAAUUCUCGACUGCAUAAUUUAUGGUAGUGGGGGACUGCGUCGCGCUCUCCCUGA